UUGCCAGCCCGCUCAGAAACUCAAAGGAAUUGACGGGGCCCGCACAAGCGGAGGAGCAUGUGGUUAAUUCGAUGAUACGCGAGGAACCUUACCUGGGCUCGAACGUAAGAUGACUGUAGGUGAAAGCUUACAUCUCUUCGGAGCAUUUUACGAGGUGCUGCAUGGUUGUCGUCAGCUCGUGCCGUGAGGUGUCGGGUUAAGUCCCAUAACGAGCGCAACCCCUACCUUUAGUUGCCAUCAGGUAAUGCUGGGGACUCUAAAGGAACUGCCUACGCAAGUAGUGAGGAAGGCGGGGAUGACGUCAAAUCAGCACGGCCCUUACGUCCAGGGCUACACACGUGCUACAAUGGCCGAUACAGAGGGCAGCUACCUGGUGACAGGAUGCAAAUCUCCAAAGUCGGUCUCAGUUCGGAUCGGAGUCUGCAACCCGACUCCGUGAAGUUGGAUUCGCUAGUAAUCGCGCAUCAGCCAUGGCGCGGUGAAUACGUUCCCGGGCCUU
rnacentral:rRNA from 1 species